rnacentral:misc_RNA from 1 species
UACGUAGGUGGCAAGCGUUGUCCGGAAUUAUUGGGCGUAAAGCGCGCGCAGGCGGCCUAUUAAGUCUGAUGUGAAAGCCCCCGGCUCAACCGUGGAGGGUCAUUGGAAACUGGGAAACUUGAGUGCAGAAGAGGAGAGCGGAAUUCCACGUGUAGCGGUGAAAUGCGUAGAGAUGGGGGGGAACACCAGUGGCGAAGGCGGCUAUCUGGUCUGUAACUGACGCUGAGGCGCGAAAGCGUGGGGAGCGAACAGG